GUGCUACUGGGAGGAAGAAAAGCACAUCAUUUUCAGGGGAGCGACUCUCCGCUCACAUCUUGCUCCUGCUUAAAAUAGAAGCAGGAAGUUAAAACUCCAGACGGAUGGGGUGCCAGGGAAGUGAGAGGGAGUUGGAACAUUCCUGUUUUUGCCUAGAGAAGAUGCUCAUAUCACCCAGGAAGGAGAUCUGGGAUGGCACAAUGUGUAUUUAGACAGCAGUUACACAAAGUUGCAAGUCAGGAAGAAAAGCAAGAAUGUAACAAGACAUGGAUUUAAAAGCCUCCUGAUGGAGGCAAAGUUCCAGGUUGAAUAAGAAACAAAUAAUCCAGCGGCUCAGAUUUCAUCUUGGGGAUUUCAACAAUCACAGCCACAAGGAUUUCCCAGGUUACAGCUCUUCUUGGAAAAAUUACCCUGGAGAGAAAACAGAAAACUGGAUAAAAAGAACCCCCACAAGAAGGGACAGUCCUGACUGCGGCAGAAAUUUCUUCUGGAGAGAAAAAAGCCACCUUUGUGAGCCACAGAGAUUCAAAGCUGGCCAGGCGGGAGCCACCCUAAGGUUUUUGGGCAGAUCCCUCCACCUGUUAUAUCUUCAACUAGGAAAACCUUCUGAGAAUCAAAAGGGGUCCUGUGUCCUGAUAUCACAGUGACCAAUUUCUUUGAGACGGCUACAAGCUUCCAUAGAAAAGACUGGCUGACUGACUGCCUUCUAGCAAAUUCUAGUAUGGAGUAAGGAGAGAGGAUGCAACCACAUUACUCCGUGGGCUUCCAUUCACCCUCCUGGGGACCCCGUGAGAGAAAGUCGGUGGAUUAAAGGAGAGCUGACAAGCACCUGAGCAGGUUAGCCCCAAGGGUUCCACUCUGCUCACGACAGAAGAACUUCCCAGCCCCUCCAAGACUGCCAACAAAAGGGCAGAGCCUGAGCUGCUUGGGUCCCAUUACUGAGAUGGUGCUGUCGCCAUCUGCAUCCCUCCAGGCACGAAGGGUUUUCCCAGCAGAUCUUUUGGUUUCUGGAAAAGUUUACUCAAACUCUACUCUACCUUCUGUAAAAUAAAAUGAACAUCUCUUCAUAGUUUAACAUUCAAAAAGGGAAAAUCAGACUCUGGUGAAACUGGCUUGCACUAACUAAAUUCACAAGAGCCUGGUUGAUAAACCAGAUUGUCAGUUAACUAUUUUGGAGUGGAAAAAAAUGGAGAUAUUAAGGAGUCUGAAACAUUCAUCUUCUCAGCACCUCUCACAAUGUCUGGCAGAGAACAAGUGCUGGGAGACAAUUCUCCAUGGGCUUCUCACACUCUACACACCUUUCGAGUAGCGUCAUUGACUGCCUUUGUUCUGGACUGCUUUUCAAGGAUGUUUGUAUAAGAAAGUGCUUUGGAAGAGUGAGGAGGUGUCUCCCUCAGGAGCAAUGAGCAGGCGUGCUUACUGUUCAGUAUAAAAGAUUCCAUAAGCUCGGAGUUCCUCUCAAAUGCUGACACUGCCUGCUGCUACUGUGAGGUGGCUGUGUUUUUCUGUCGGUUUUAGAAUGCCUGACAAAUCUGAGCCUGGAAACCCUUUACCGAAAGGAGGUGAUCCAGUCUUUCUACAUGGCAGAUGGCCAAGCUGCCGCCUGUUACCUCCUGUUAAUAGUGACUCCAAGAGUCUGGCAGAGAGCUGGUGCCAGCAUGUGUGCAACAAACAGCCAUAGAAAUGAUGCUCCUUUUUCUUCUUGGAAAAAAUGAGCAAGCUGCUAAAAACAUACUGAGUUUGGUUCCUGGGACACUUCCUGAAAGGAGAGAUGGCUUGAGAUGGAGAGUGAAUGGAAGGAGGCACGUCUGCAUGGAAGAAUUAGCCAAGGACAAGAUCUUACUUCAAAGAAGACGUUCUGCAUUGAGCCUGAAAACAGCGUUUAUCUUUAUGUGGAAAACCAUGCCCUGUGCUAACCUUUCUGUGUCUUCUCAACCAUCGCCCGUGAAGAAUGAUUCCACCAGUGCCGACUGAAUUUGUGAGCGUUUGUGAUGCAACAGAAGUGGAGACAAGACAGGAGUGUGUUUGCUCUUACUGGAAUAGGCUGAAUUUCACUUCCAGAAGAGGAAAAGCUAAAAGUAUAAGGAAAGGCAAGAGCCAAAGAAGUCUCAGAGAGAGAGUUUUGCUGGGGGUGUGGACGGAGGAGUGGUGAGAGGUGAGACCCUCAGGGCCCUGCAAGGCGGGCUGUGGUUCCAAGGCCAGGUGGAGACUGGAUUUCAAGAAGUGUUGCCACAGGCUGUGUACUGAUUCCUUUGCCAGACUCUAGUAAGGAGCUUUUAAAUGUUAGAUUUUAUUUAAUUUUUGAAUAGAUUAUACAUUCACAUGGUUCAAAUCUUUAAAUGUACUGAGAGGUUUAUCAGGAAAAAGUCUCGCCAGCGCUCCAGGCCCCAGCCACCCACCUCUCAUCCAUGGAGGCCACCACAUUACCAGCUGCCUGUCUAUCUUCCGGAGGCGUUUUAUGCACAUACAAGCAGAUAGACAUUUGUAUUACGUAUUCACCCCACUCAGUUUUUAUACAGGUGGCAUCAUCCUACACAGAUUCUUCUACACGCUGCUUUACUGUCCUGUCAAUAUCUGCGAUGUUGUUUCAUUUGAUUAGAUAAAUGAUUCCCCAUUCUUUUUUUGCAGCUGCAGAGUAUUGCAGCGUAGCAACGUACAAAUAUUUUUUAGCUAGUCCACCCUUUUGGCUGCUUCCAAUCGCUUUUAUAUACAUGACACCAUGAAUUACCCUAAUCUUAACUUCUUUGGUACGGUGCACACCUUUGGCAGUCCGCUAAAACCUAUGAAUUUCUUCUCACCAUAAUGUUUUCAAGAGUAUAAAAUAAAAUCCUUAGGAUUAAAAGGAAAUCAAUUAUACUGAAAUAUAGUUAUCAAAAUAUUUUUUAUUUAGAAAUAUAUGUGCAGGCCCAGUGGUGCAGCGGUUAAGUUCGCUCGUUCUGCUUCGGCGGCCUGGGGUUCGCCAGUUCGGAUCCUGGGUGCGGACAUGGCACCACUUGGCAUGCCAUGCUGUGGUAGGCGUCCCACAUAUAAAGUAGAGGAAGAUAGGCAUGAAUGUUAGCUCAGGGCCAGUCUUCCUCAGUGAAAAGAGGAGGAUUGGCAGCAGUUAGCUCAGGGCUAAUCUUCCUCAAAUAAAAAAAAAAGAAGAAGAAGAAAUAUAUGUGCUUAUUCAUUAAUGAAUUAAAUCACAAGAUCUGGCAUGGGUCUAAUAACUACUGUAAUUUCAAAGUAUGCACGAACAUAAAUGAUAUUUUAGAAUAUCUGCAACAACUGUAAGAUGACAUAAAAGAUCAGAUUUUUACCAGUAACAAAGGCACAGGCUGAUACUAUUGUGGUUUCCUGCCUACUAAUUAAAGGAAAUGAUCAAUUUCAGUUAGAAUUUAGUGAAAACAAAAACACAAUUUUUUUCUCAUCCAAGUUGAUGAAUCUCCAAACUGUUUCUGUGCAGCCUCAUUAAGAAGCCUGCCUUACACAUACUUCAUUUUUUAAACAUUCGAGUAUGUUUGUAUAUAUUUGUAAAUUCCAGGAAGUGUUUUGCAUUAGCAAGUGCUAAUACAUUUGUAACUGAAUGCGUUUUGUCAAAUUGCCAGAAAUAGUCAUUCCGCCGGCUUUGAAUGAGGGUGUGUCAGGGAGCACUGUAAUCUUUGCCAAUCCAAGAGAUGAAAAGUAGUAUCUUGGUGUAGUUUUAUUUUGCAUUUGUCUCAUUAGAAGCAAAGUUCAGC
ensembl:lncRNA